rnacentral:rRNA from 1 species
GUCCGAUUAGCUAGUCGGCGGGGUAAGAGCCCACCAAGGCGACGAUCGGUAGCUGGUCUGAGAGGAUGAUCAGGCACACUGGAACUGAGACACGGUCCAGACUCCUACGGGAGGCAGCAGUGGGGAAUAUUGGACAAUGGGCGCAAGCCUGAUCCAGCAAUGCCGCGUGGGUGAAGAAGGCCUUCGGGUUGUAAAGCCCUUUUGUACGGGAAGAAAUCCCAUUCGUUAAUACCGGGUGGGGAUGACGGUACCGUAAGAAUAAGCACCGGCUAACUUCGUGCCAGCAGCCGCGGUAAUACGAAGGGUGCAAGCGUUAAUCGGAAUUACUGGGCGUAAAGCGUGCGUAGGUGGUUGGUUAAGUCUGUCGUGAAAGCCCUGGGCUCAACCUGGGAAUGGCGAUGGAUACUGGCCGACUAGAGUGCGGUAGAGGGAUGCGGAAUUUCCGGUGUAGCGGUGAAAUGCGUAGAGAUCGGAAGGAACAUCCGUGGCGAAGGCGGCAUCCUGG